UACAGAGGUCUCAAGCGUUGUUCGGAUUCAUUGGGCGUAAAGGGUGCGUAGGUGGCGCCGUAAGUCAGGUGUGAAAUUUCGGAGCUUAACUCCGAAACUGCAUUUGAUACUGCGGUGCUUGAGGACUGGAGAGGAGACUGGAAUUUACGGUGUAGCAGUGAAAUGCGUAGAGAUCGUAAGGAAGACCAGUGGCGAAGGCGGGUCUCUGGACAGUUCCUGACACUGAGGCACGAAGGCCCAGGGGGAGCAAAACGGG
rnacentral:rRNA from 1 species